rnacentral:lncRNA from 1 species
UUCUGGAAAAUGAAGAUGAACUUCAUCUUCUCCGGUGAAACUUGUUCCUCCGGCGUGGUGGCCGGCCGCCCCAAGGGUGGCGGCGCCGCCGCCGGAAGUUGAACAACUUUCUCCGUUUUCAAAAUUUUUUACACUUUUGGAAAUCCUUUUUCGUUCUAAACACGAAUCCGGUACUGGUUUUUUCAUGCAAGGUUUGAAUCGUUGUAGAUCUACACUUUUGUUCACGGUUUUGAAAAAGAUUUUUCUUGAUUCUUUUUAGUGUUUUGUUGAAUGAAAGCUUUGGAACUUUG